GCCCUUGUAGCUCAGUUGGAAGAGUAGCGCACUUGUAAUGCGACGGUCGACGGUUCAAAUCCUGUCCUUGGGCACCA
rnacentral:tRNA from 1 species